rnacentral:rRNA from 1 species
UACAGAGGUCUCAAGCGUUGUUCGGAUUCAUUGGGCGUAAAGGGUGCGUAGGUGGCGGGGUUAGUCGGGUGUGAAAUCUCGGAGCUCAACUCCGAAACUGCACUUGAUACUGCCUUGCUAGAGUACUGGAGAGGAGAUUGGAAUUUACGGUGUAGCAGUGAAAUGCGUAGAUAUCGUAAGGAAGACCAGUGGCGAAGGCGAAUCUCUGGACAGUUACUGACACUGAGGCACGAAGGCCAGGGGAGCAAACGGG